UUAGGGCGUGUAGACUAUAAAGCCCUUUGGGCUUGUGCAUGGUGAAGCCCAACGCGUGGGCCAAAAGUUGGUGAGUGUCCAUAUUCUUUGCUCAUUUUAGUUUCACUCUCAGACACGUUUCUCUUCCUCUCUUAGCUACUUCUUGGAUGGAAAUCGCUCUGCCACGGUGGGGCAACCCAAAACCAUACGAAAUUACCACUAAUGGAAACCUCUCGUCCUCUUCUCUCUAUUUCCCACUUCCAAACAAACCAAACAAACCACAAGAAAAACCCCAUGAACCCUAAUUCAUUCAAAAUAAAAUUAAACACAGUGGGAGGGGAAUCAAAGCAUGAAACCUUGGGCCUUUAAUUCCCCUCAACCUAAUCUACAUGAUGGUAACACGUUUGAGGUAAAGAAGUGAAGAUUUUUAAAAGAACCUACCUACAGGACGGAGGCUUAUCCGGGAAAUUGUUGAAGGUCUUGAAGAAGACGAUGCUUAGAGAAUACUAGAGGUUUUUUGUAGGGUUACUACAAUCUUGAUGUCGUGAGCCUUAGGCUUUGGACAUAGCAUUUCAACAUGGCAGAGGCUUGGCAUGGCAUCAUGAAGGUAUUUUGCAAGGCAUGAUCAAGAUUUAGUAUAAAGAAGGAUGCUUAGUAUGAACAUGAAAGUAUUUUAGAAUACACUUGAAGUACUUAAAGGACCACAUGAAUAAUUAAGAGAAAAAUAGACUUAGAGUAGGUUUAUGACUAGUUUGGCUUUUGGUCAACUGUUUGACAAAAAGUCAAAAGUUGACCAAAAGUCAACCUUAGGUCAAAAAGUUUUUUUUAUAACCUUGUAAUCUUUGGUCGGUGUGUAAUAAAAUUCUUUGGAUUUUGUAAUUGAAUAUUGGCCAUUUGAAUGUGAUUUGUAACUUUUUUCACAA